ACUGCAGGACACAUGAACACCGAUAAGUUGAACGCAUAUUGCGCAUCGUGCGACACAGCUCGAUGUACACAUUUUUGAGUGCCCAUAUUUGACCCUUACCAAAGUCAAACUACGUACCUUAUCGUACGUGCCUGAUGAUGAAAGAGUUUGGAUGCACCAUCCUUCUCUUGCAUUGAAAGCGUAGCGUGUAGCAACCCCAGGUUUCAACUUGCAAAGUGGCCAUGGGGCCGACACCUCACCACCAUCAGCG
rnacentral:misc_RNA from 1 species